GCAAUCAUUGUGCAAAUCAAUGUGAUAUAAUGCUUAAACAAUUUGCAACGUAUAUAUAAUAUGACCAGUGUAAUAUCGUUUGCCAUUUUUGAUUCUCUGUUAAAAUGUGCUUUAAGAAUGCUUAUGAGAUUGAACUAGACUGAGAUUGACACUGCUUUUUAUUAUUAUUUAUUUGCAGCGUAACAGCAAUAGCAAUAAAAUAUAUGUUUCAGACAUUGUGACUUUAUUUUUCCACAGGGCUGAAAUCACUCUAGGGAACAUCAUCAAAAAGAAAGGCUGGAGACGGUCCAGUUAUGUAGUAACGACUAAGAUCUACUGGGGAGGACAGGCAGAGACAGAGAGAGGCCUGUCCAGAAAACACAUCAUCGAAGGUCUCAGAGGUUCCCUGUCUAGACUACAGCUGGAUUACGUGGAUAUUGUCUUUGCCAACCGAAGCGAUGUGAACAGCCCUAUGGAAGAGGUAGUGCGUGCGAUGACAUUUGUUAUAAACCAGGGUAUGGCCAUGUACUGGGGCACGUCACGCUGGAGCGCCAUGGAGAUCAUGGUACGGUUUUCUCUCCAUGCAUCAAAACUGGUCACUCUUUAUUCUGGGGACCGAUUCUCACUGGAUUCUAUCUACGCCUCAGUAAACUCUUAAUUUGCUGUUAUUGUAAGUUAGUUAGUAAGGAAGGAUUAAGAGGUCUAAAAUAUGGCCAUGAAGAAUAAUGUAUUAAUA